rnacentral:lncRNA from 1 species
AUUCCAUCAAGAUAAUUUUCGUGAAAUAUCUCCUUGUUAAUUCUGCUCCUAGAGUGUUUUCAAAACUCCUCUUUCAUCUUUAAUACAUUUGCAAUUUAUUUGGGUUGAAGGAGAGAAGUCAUGCUGCCUAUUCAUUUCCUUUCUUCCCAAAUGAACAAUUUGAAUCUAUUGGUUCCCGAUGGCUCCUGUAACAAAUUAUCUCAGAUGCAGUGGCUUAAAGCAACGCAAAUGUGUUCUCUUCCAGUUCUGGAAGCCAGAAUUCUAAACGGGGUGGUCAGGCCUGCGUUCCUUCCGGAGGCUCCAGACGAGAACGCAUUUCCUUGCAUUUCUGGCUGCUGCUAUCUGCCCACACGCCUUGGCUCACAGCCUCGCCUCAUUCUCACCUCGGCCUCGGGGUCACACCUCCUGCUCUGGUUCCGAUUCACCGCCUUCUACACUCCCUCCUAAGAACCCCUGUCAUCACAGUGGAGUUCCCUGGGGGCGUGGCGGUUAAAGAUCGGAAGUUAUCAGUGGCUGCGGCUUGGGUUCCAGUCCUGGCCUGGGAACUUCCACGUGCGGCCCCAAAAAGAAAACCCUUGGCACUACGGUGGAUCCUCCUAAUUAACACGAUAAUCUCCCCGUUGCAAGGUUCUUAAUUCAAUCACAGCUGCAAAGUCCCUUUUACCGUCCAAGGUGGCCUAUUGAUCAGUGCCAGGGAUUAGAAGAGGGGUGUCUUUGGGGUGGGACAGGGAGGGUUAUUCAGCCUGCCCCAGGGAUGAAAUCUUUGCUCUCUGCCUGUCUUUUUUGAGGGCCACACCCGAAGCAUAGGGAAGUUCCCAGGCUAGGGGUCGAGUCUGAGCUGCAGCUGCCAGCCUACACCACAGCCGCAGCAAGGCCAGACCCUUAACCCACUGAGCGAGGGCAGGGAUCGAGUCUGAGUCCUCAUGGAUACUCGUGGGGCUCCUUACCACUGAGCCACAAGGGGAGCUCCCUGCCUGACGGUCUGUGAGCCGGAACAGUGGUCUUCUCCUGCCUUUGGUCUCAAACUCAGACUAGAGAAUGUGUGGAACCAUGACCAAUACACUACACCUGUUUUUCUAGGUGUUGUGGCAGCACAGUGGGUUUACAAGGUUGCGGUCUUUUCUGCUGCACAGCAGUGAUUCAGUGAGACAUGGACAGCCACCCGUUCUCUUGCGGGUUCUUUCCCCACAGGCGAUCGCAGAAUACUGGGUAGAGGACCCUGUGCUGUGCAGCAGGUCCCCGUCGGCCAGUCACUCCCCAUACCUCAGUGUGCACAUGCCAAUCCCAAUGCCCAGUCCAUCCCCCACCCCCCACCGGUCCCCUUUGGUAACCAGAACUCUGUUUCCAAAGUCCCGUCAGUUCUGCCAAUAAGGGCACUCAUACCCUUUCUCUUAGGUUCCACCUGUAAGUGAUGCCAUGUGAUGUCCGUCCUUCUCUGUCUCGCUUCGCUUGGCAUGAUCAUCUCCCUUUACGGAAAGAGGGUUUGGACUGUUCCUCAUUCAGCCCCUCUGUUUCCUUCUCUUUGCAGCGGCAGACAGACUCUCAGGAAGACAUCCUGUAUGUGGCCCAUUCUCCGCAGUCGGGACAUCUUGAGCCGUGCGUUGCUCUCUGCUGUACCUUCCAGCCCUGGGGCCUCUGACAUUUACUUUCCUAGUGUGUCCAACGCUCCGAUUUCUUUGAGGAGGUAAAGUCGGUGUCCAGUCUAGAGGAAGGACGACAGGUGUCCUGUCCUUUUCUGUACAGACUCAGAAUAAUAAAAA